rnacentral:rRNA from 1 species
AGAAUCAACGCUGGCGGCGUGCCUAACACAUGCAAGUCGCACGAGAAAGGGGCUUCGGCCCUGAGUAAAGUGGCGCACGGGUGAGUAACACGUGACUAAUCUACCCUCGAGUGGGGAAUAACCUAGAGAAAUCUGGGCUAAUACCGCAUAACACUUACGAGUCAAAGCAGCAAUGCGCUUGGGGAGGAGGUCGCGGCCGAUUAGUUAGUUGGCGGGGUAAUGGCCCACCAAGACGAUGAUCGGUA